GUCUCCGUGGCGCAAUGGUAGCGCGUUGGACUUCUACCUCACACAUCAAUCUGUCCGGUCAUCCAAAGGCUGCGGGUUCGAGCCCCGCCGGAGAUG